AACGAACGCUGGCGGCGUGCCUAACACAUGCAAGUCGGACGCGAAAGGGGGCAACCCCCGGUAGCGUGGCAGACGGGUGAGUAACACGUGGGUAACCUACCCGGAGGUGGGGGAUAACCCUUCGAAAGGAGGGCUAAUACCGCAUGACAUCGCGAGGAUCUCGAUCCUUGCGAUCAAAGCCGGCCUCUGUUUACAAGCUAGCGCCACCGGAGGGGCCCGCGCCCCAUUAGCUAGUUGGUGAGGUAACGGCUCACCAAGGCGACGAUGGGUAGCCGGCCUGAGAGGGCGACCGGCCACACUGGAACUGGGACACGGUCCAGACUCCUACGGGAGGCAGCAGUGAGGAAUCUUGCGCAAUGGGCGAAAGCCUGACGCAGCGACGCCGCGUGGAGGACGAAGGUCUUCGGAUUGUAAACUCCUGUCGAGAGGGACGAAUGCCGUGAGGGUGAACAAUCCUCACGGUUGACGGUACCUCCAGAGGAAGCCCCGGCUAACUCCGUGCCAGCAGCCGCAGUAAUAC
rnacentral:rRNA from 1 species